CCUACGGGUGGCAGCAGUGGGGGAUAUUGGACAAUGGGGGGAACCCUGCUCCAGCGACGCCGCGUGAGUGAAGAAGUAUUUCGGUAUGUAAAGCUCUGUCAGCAGGGAAGAAAGAAAUGACGGUACCUGACCAAGAAGCCCCGGCUAACUACGUGCCAGCAGCCGCGGUAAUACGGAGGAUGCGAGCGUUAUCCGGAUUUAUUGGGUUUAAAGGGUGCGUAGGCGGUCCGUUAAGUCAGCGGUAAACUUGCGGGGCUCAACCCCGUCGAGCCGUUGAAACUGGCAGACUUGAGUUGGCGAGAAGUACGCGGAAUGCGCGGUGUAGCGGUGAAAUGCAUAGAUAUCGCGCAGAACUCCGAUUGCGAAGGCAGCGUACCGGCGCCAGACUGACGCUGAGGCACGAAAGCGUGGGGAUCGAACAGGAUUAGAUACCCCAGUAGUC
rnacentral:rRNA from 1 species